rnacentral:rRNA from 1 species
GCUUUACACAUNGCAAGUCGAACGGCAGCACGGAGCUUGCUCUGGUGGCGAGUGGCGAACGGGUGAGUAAUGCGUCGGAACGUAUCCAAUAAUGGGGGAUAACGCAGCGAAAGCUGUGCUAAUACCGCAUACGCCCUGAGGGGGAAAGCAGGGGAUCUUCGGACCUUGCGUUAGUGGAGCGGCCGACGUCUGUUUAGCUAGUUGGUAGGGUAAAGGCCUACCAAGGCGACGAUCAGUAGCUGGUCUGAGAGGAUGAUCAGCCACACUGGAACUGAGACACGGUCCAGACUCCUACGGGAGGCAGCAGUGGGGAAUUUUGGACAAUGGGGGAAACCCUGAUCCAGCCAUUCCGCGUGAGUGAAGAAGGCCUUCGGGUUGUAAAGCUCUUUCAGGAGGGAAGAAACGAUUAUGGUUAAUAACCAUGAUUAAUGACGGUACCUUCAGAAGAAGCACCGGCUAACUACGUGCCAGCAGCCGCGGUAAUACGUAGGGUGCGAGCGUUAAUCGGAAUUACUGGGCGUAAAGCGUGCGCAGGCGGUUUAUCAAGUCUGAUGUGAAAGCCCCGGGCUUAACCUGGGAACGGCGUUGGAAACUGAUAAACUAGAGUACGGCAGAGGGGGGUAGAAUUCCACGUGUAGCAGUGAAAUGCGUAGAUAUGUGGAGGAAUACCGAUGGCGAAGGCAGCCCCCUGGGUCGAUACUGACGCUCAUGCACGAAAGCGUGGGUAGCAAACAGGAUUAGAUACCCU